UGGUGUUCAGAUAUAUCAGUUUCCAAC
rnacentral:piRNA from 1 species